GUUGGGGGAGGGGGUGCCCCGCUGGUACUGGGCAAAUGGCAAAGGAAGGGGAGGAAAGCUCCCAGAAAGUUAGGUGGACCCUCGGUGCAAGCCCACAGAAGGACGAAGAUGGUCUGGUGUUGUUGGGAAGCUGGCCUGGAGGUGAGAAGUCUUGGAACUUUAUGAAAUCUCCUUCAGAUACAACUUUGGGGUUGUUGCUGUCUAUUAAAAUAAAGUUUGGAAGACCCUAUGAUGUGGAAAACGGAUCUUUGGAAAAUGGAGAGAAACUGCCUUGUGAACUUGCAGUCCAUGUCAACAUCACUAGAGAGAACCAGGCUCUGGACUAAAGAGGAAUACAGAAAGUUGCCAGUAUAGGCUGUUGUAAUCUUGAUGGUGAGUUAACUUCCUGGAAG